ensembl:lncRNA
UGAGGUGAUGGAGGAAAACCCUUCACGGCACCUAUCUUUUAUUUCAUUGAUGCAAUGGCAGCAGUCCCGGUUCCUAAUCAGGGGAGCAGAGCCAGGCUUCAGGCAGAUCCCAUGCUGCCCAGUAUGACAGCAGCCAGGAGCCACAGCGUGUGGCUGCUGGACUCUUGAAUGUGGUUUGUUUGAUGGAGGAGCUGAAUUUUUAAUUGUAUUUAAUUUCAGUUAACGUCACACCGGAUAUUCAGUUCAGUUUUGGGCAAACUUGUAAGUGUAUUUAAAUUACCCUAGGCACACGCGUCUAUUUUUCAAAUGAUACGUCUUCUGAACUUUAGCUACGGAUCAAACGCGUCCUUAACGGUGAUCAGCGUUUCCGAUGACAGUUUAGCGGUCACGCUGAAAUGUGCUGAGUGUAAAAAUGCCCUGGUUUCGAAGACUUCACAACAUGCAAAGAGAAACGGAAAGGAGCUGGCGAAUACGUUUUUGGGUUGAUUCCAUGUUGAAGUGAUACUAUUUCAGAUAAGAUGGAUUAAAUAAAACGAAUUAUUCAAACGGAAUCCACCUACAAGGGGUUAUUCUCCAGCCGUAAAAAGGAACGGAGGACGUGUUCCCAGGCGACCACGUGCACGAACCUGGCACCAGGCUGUGCGCAGGGAGCACACGUGUUCUGCGAUUCCACGGACGCGACGCGACCGGAGGAGGCGGGGCCGUGGAGACAGGAAUUUCCCGGGAAAUUGUGGCAGCUGAAUUUGCAUGAUGUAGCUACAAAUGGAAUCUGCAAAAUGUGUGUGUUCAUGUGGUUUGGACGUGAGAAUAAUUCCUGUACCCGGUCAUGUCGGGAAGAGUCGAAAUAUUCACUUCCCGUCCCCCAGGGACCAGGCCAGCUCUCGGACCCUGACAGUUGAUGGCAGCUUGGAGGCUUAAUGGAGGCCGCGUGACCCAUGGAACGCCUGCAGGCCAGCCACCCUGCGCUCAAGAAAUGGGAGCGGCUAUUAGCAGCAGGACUGCUCUUAGAAAAUGUGCUAAGUAAUGCAUGGAGUGUGGUGUUUCACAGCCACGUAAUGAUGGUAAAAUACGCUGUAAAUCAAUAGAGGAGGUGGCCUGUGUUUUAACCCUUUGAAUCAGUUUCACUCGUUUCUGUGACUUCUAUGAGAGAAAAUAAUGGAUUUAAAAAACAUAGUUGCAGUGUUUUGCUGAGCUGUGGGUUUAUUCAUUUGGUGUUUCAUCCAACGAGUUUUUUGUUUUUUUUUUUUUCUUCUUUUCUAGGGCCGCACCCGUGGCACAUGGAGGUUCCCAGGCUAGGGGUCGAAUCGGAGCUGUAGCCGCCGGCCUCCGCCAGAGCCACAGCCACGCCAGAUCUGAGCUGUGUCUGCGAUCUACACCCCAGCUCACGGCAACGCCGGAUCCUUAACCCACUGAGCGAGCCCAGGGAUCGAACCCGCAACCUCAUGGUUCCUUGUCGGAUUCGUUAACCACUGAGCCACGAUGGAAAUUCCCCCAGCAACUAUGUUUUGACUGCCGGCCACAGGCUGAGCCCAAUUGGCAGUGCUGGGAGUGGACGGGGGACAGGACAGAGAUGUCCCCGCUGCCACAGAGCUGACAGUCUAGAGGGCUGAGACUGAGCAAACCAAGCCACCGAUGUGGUGGCCCAAAGUGCAGAGCAGAGAGAGUCACCUGGGGAGAAGGUUGGAAGAGGGAGGGAGGGGUGAGCCAUCCUGCCAUCCUCUAGGCAAGAGUUCCAGGCAGAGGGGUGGCAGAUGCAAAGGCCCUGAGGUAGGGGCGCGGCUGGGGAGCUGCAGGAAGUGAGGUCAUCCAGGGAAGGGCACACCAUGUGGGACCUGCAUGGGAAGAGAGAAGACUUUUCUCUCUGGUGAGGGGGAGCCACGGAAGACCCCUCCUCUCUGA